rnacentral:RNase_P_RNA from 1 species
UCAGUCGGCCGGACGGCCGCUCCGGCAGGUGCCGAAAGGCCGCCGGGGAGGAAAGUCCGGGCUCCCUUGACAUGCGGUGCCGGAUAACGUCCGGCGGGGGCAACCCCAGGGAAAGUGCCACAGAGAACGAACCGCCCGCCUUCGCCCCUUCGGGGCUUCGGCGAGGUAAGGGUGAAAAGGUGCGGUAAGAGCGCACCGCGGGUCCGGCAACGGAGCCGGCAUGGCAAACCCCACCGGGAGCAAAACCGAAUAGGGACGGCGUAGCGGGCUGUUCGCGCAAGCGAUAACGCCGCGGGGCGAUGUCAGGCCCGCCGUCCGGGUAGGUUGCUCGAGGCCAUGUGCAAACAUGGUCCCAGAGGAAUGGCCGUCACGUAUCGUUCGCGCAAGCGGACGGUGCCCUACAGAACCCGGCUUACAGGCCGGCUGAUAUC